rnacentral:sRNA from 1 species
CUAAAUUAAAAUUAUAAAAAUCUGAAGGUAAUAUUCACAAGUGUCAUAUAUCAGAGUUAGAUAGUAAUCUGUCUUUUUCAUCUUCACUUUCGAAUGGCUACUUCUACCUGUUUUUUUAUUUUGCCAGGUGGUUAGAUGAACGUCAUGCACAAUCUCACUUUAUUCCAGCUUUAUUCCGACCUUCUCCUCUUGAGCGGAUAAAAACUAAUGUCAUAAAUCCUGCAUAUGCUACUGAAUCAGGUCAGACAGAAAACUCACUACAUAUGGGCUAUAGUGCACUAGAAAUAAAGAGUAAAAUGUUAGCCCUAGAGAAAGCAGAUACCUGUAUUUACAACCCUUUGUUUGGAUCAGAUCUUCAGUAUACAAAUCGGGUAGAUAAAGUGGUAAUAAAUCCAUACUUUGGUCUAGGAGCUCCAGACUACUCAAAAAUCCAAAUACCUAAACAGGAAAAAUGGCAGAGAAGCAUGAGCAGUGUCACAGAAGACAAGGAACGACAGUGGGUAGAUGAUUUUCCUCUCCACCGAAGCGCCUGUGAAGGAGAUUCAGAAUUACUAAGCCGUCUUCUCAGUGAAAGAUUUUCAGUCAACCAAUUAGAUAGUGACCACUGGGCACCCAUUCAUUAUGCAUGCUGGUAUGGAAAAGUUGAGGCCACUCGCAUAUUGUUAGAGAAAGGAAAGUGCAAUCCAAACCUUUUAAAUGGACAACUUAGUUCUCCUCUUCAUUUUGCUGCUGGAGGAGGACAUGCUGAAAUAGUACAGAUUCUCCUAAACCACCCAGAAAUUGAUAGACAUAUAACAGACCAACAAGGAAGAUCUCCAUUAAAUAUUUGUGAAGAAAACAAACAAAACAACUGGGAAGAAGCUGCAAAAUUGUUGAAGGAAGCAAUUAACAAACCAUAUGAAAAAGUUCGAAUAUACAGAAUGGAUGGGUCAUAUCGUUCUGUUGAAUUAAAGCAUGGAAAUAAUACCACAGUGCAGCAGAUAAUGGAAGGAAUGCGUCUCUCUCAAGAAACUCAGCAAUAUUUCACUAUAUGGAUUUGUUCAGAAAACCUCAGCCUUCAACUCAAACCAUAUCAUAAACCCUUGCAACAUGUUCGUGACUGGCCAGAAAUACUUGCUGAAUUGACUAAUCUGGAUCCUCAAAGGGAAACACCUCAGCUUUUUCUAAGAAGAGAUGUGAGACUUCCUUUGGAAGUUGAAAAACAGAUUGAAGACCCACUAGCUAUUCUUAUUCUCUUUGAUGAAGCCAGAUAUAAUUUGUUGAAGGGCUUUUAUACAGCUCCUGAUGCUAAGCUGAUAACAUUGGCAAGUCUGCUUUUGCAAAUAGUCUAUGGAAAUUAUGAGAGUAAAAAACACAAGCAAGGUUUCCUAAAUGAAGAAAAUCUAAAAUCCAUCGUACCUGUUACCAAACUGAAAAGUAAGGCACCUCACUGGACAAAUCGCAUACUUCAUGAAUACAAGAAUCUCAGUACAAGUGAAGGUGUCAGUAAAGAAAUGCAUCACCUUCAGCGCAUGUUCUUACAGAAUUGCUGGGAAAUUCCUACUUAUGGAGCAGCAUUUUUCACAGGACAGAUAUUUACAAAGGCAAGCCCCAGCAAUCAUAAAGUCAUCCCUGUGUAUGUCGGAGUGAAUAUAAAAGGACUUCAUCUCCUCAACAUGGAAACUAAGGCUUUACUCAUCAGUCUUAAGUAUGGUUGUUUUAUGUGGCAAUUGGGAGAUACUGAUACUUGUUUUCAGAUCCAUAGCAUGGAAAAUAAAAUGAGCUUUAUAGUACAUACAAAACAGGCUGGUCUCGUGGUAAAACUGUUAAUGAAGCUAAAUGGACAGUUAAUGCCCACUGAAAGAAAUUCAUGAAAGAGAAGUAACUGUUACUCAAGCCACCACAUUUUGUAAUGCAGAGUUUUUUUUCCGUGAAAGAUUUCUUAAAAUAUUACUUUUGGCCGAGCAUGGUGGCUCACCCCUGUAAUUCCAGCACUUUGGGAGGCUGGGGCAGGCGGAUCACCUGAAGUCAGAGUUCAAGACCAGCCUGGCCAACAUGGUGAAACCCUGUCUCUACAAAAAUACAAAAAUUAGCUGGGUGUGGUGGCGGGCGCCUAUAAUCCUAGCUACUAGGGAGGCCAAGGUGGGAGAUCGCUUAAACCCAGGAGGUGGAGGUUGUAGUGAGCCAAGAUUGCACCACGGCACACUAGCCUGGGUGACACAGCAAGACUCCAUCUCAAAAAAAAAAAAAAUUACUUUCAACAAGGCAUAUAGUCUCUUGUAAUAUAUAUGUAUACUAUUACAUUGUACAGAAUCUGUACUUAUGUUUGGUGUGUAAUAUACCAAUUAGUUUUAUAUAAUAUCCUCAUAAGCUAUUCUAAUUUUUGAGAGAAACACAAAAAGUUAUAGAUUGAUAGUCUGUAUAAUAUUAG